CUCGUGUCCACAGUACAGAGGACAUGUAGGGUUCGGCCGGGGCGCGGCUGCACCGGGGCCUGCCUCGCGGACCUGGACUCGGGACUCCGGGCGGCCCUGCCUGGUGCCAUUGCCUCAGCCAAGUCUCCCACCUCUCUGCUCGGUUUCCCGCCCCACCUUUCCCCUACUACCGCAUCCCUGUCCCCUCGCUUCCCUCCGCGAUGUCUCCAUCCGAGUAAGAAACGAAGCUGAACGCAUUGGUAACUGUGCUCAAGAAGAUGCAAUCGCGGGAGCCCUCAGGGUGGCGCACGGCGGAGAGGCGACGCGGGUGGCGCUGCAGAGGAUUUAUAGUGCUCUUGGGGAGGCUCCUGGAAGAAGUGAUAUAUCAGACAGACAUACUAUUCAAAAGCUUAAAACUUAGCAUCUGACUAUGUAAGUAAAAAUAGAAAAAACAAUGACCACAAAAAAGCAAAAUCAACUUUACUUAGAUGAACAAUUCGGCCCAAUAUAUUAAGGAGAAUGGGAAAAAUACGCAUGUCAUCUAAAAGUUCGUAAUUUAUUCUAUACAGGAGGAUUUCAAAUAAAUUUGAUUCAUAAUACA
rnacentral:lncRNA from 1 species